GGGAAUUUUUCUCAAUGAGUGGAAGCCUGCCGGAGCCAGUGCCGCUGAGGGGAGGAAGCCUUCGUGUUGUUAAUCUCUUCUUUCUGGGAAGAAUGCAAUGACGGUACUUCAGGAAUGAGCCUCGGCUAACUUCGUGCCAGCAGCCGCGGUAAAACGGAGGAGGCAAGCGUUAUUCGGAAUCUAUGGGCGUAAAGCGUCCGCAGGUGGGUUUCCAAGUCUACCAUCAAAUCCCCAGGCUUACCUUGGGGGGGGCAGUAGAAACGAGACGGCUAGAGUGCGGCAGAGGUAGGGGGAAUUCCCGGUGUAGCGGUGAAAUGCGUAGAGAUCGGGAAGAACACCAGUGGCGAAGGCGCCCUGCUGGGCCGUUACUGACACUGAGGGACGAAAGCUAGGGGAGCGAACGGGAUUAGAUACCCC
rnacentral:rRNA from 1 species